CAUGGAGCAAGUCUGAUGGAGCAACGCCGCGUGAGUGAAGAAGGUUUUCGGAUCGUAAAGCUCUGUUGUUGGUGAAGAAGGAUAGAGGUAGUAACUGGCCUUUAUUUGACGGUAAUCAACCAGAAAGUCACGGCUAACUACGUGCCAGCAGCCGCGGAAAUA
rnacentral:rRNA from 1 species